CCGUAUGAUUGUAGUUAACAUACCAACCUGGACUCCUUGGGCAGGUGAACCGUAUGAUUGUAGUUAACAUACCAACCUGGACUCCUUGGGCAGGUGAACCGUAUGAUUGUAGUUAACAUACCAACCUGGACUCCUUGGGCAGGUGAACCGUAUGAUUGUAGUUAACAUACCAACCUGGACUCCUUGGGCAGGUGAACCGUAUGAUUGUAGUUAACAUACCAACCUGGACUCCUUGGGCAGGUGAACCGUAUGAUUGUAGUUAACAUACCAACCUGGACUCCUUGGGCAGGUGAACCGUAUGAUUGUAGUUAACAUACCAA